rnacentral:rRNA from 1 species
AGCGGCGGACGGGUGAGUAAUGCCUGGGAAUAUGCCCUGAUGUGGGGGAUAACUAUUGGAAACGAUAGCUAAUACCGCAUAAUCUUUUCGGAGCAAAGAGGGGGACCUUCGGGCCUCUCGCGUCAGGAUUAGCCCAGGUGGGAUUAGCUUGUUGGUGAGGUAAUGGCUCACCAAGGCAACGAUCCCUAGCUGGUCUGAGAGGAUGAUCAGCCACACUGGAACUGAGACACGGUCCAGACUCCUACGGGAGGCAGCAGUGGGGAAUAUUGCACAAUGGGGGAAACCCUGAUGCAGCCAUGCCGCGUGUGUGAAGAAGGCCUUCGGGUUGUAAAGCACUUUCAGUAGGGAGGAAGGUAGUGUAGUUAACACCUGCACUAUUUGACGUUACCUACAGAAGAAGCACCGGCUAACUCCGUGCCAGCAGCCGCGGUAAUACGGAGGGUGCGAGCGUUAAUCGGAAUUACUGGGCGUAAAGCGCAUGCAGGCGGCCUGUUAAGUCAGAUGUGAAAGCCCGGGGCUUAACCUCGGAAUUGCAUUUGAAACUGGCAGG